rnacentral:lncRNA from 1 species
CAACGGAGGCGUCAGGUAGGUCCUCGGAGUCGGCAUCGCGCACGUCUCCAGCUUCACCGGAGGCGUCAGGCACGGAGUCGGACUCGGCUUCACCGGAGGCGUCAGGCACGGAGUCGGACUCGGCUUCGGCGUCGCGCAAGGCGUCAGGCAGGUGCACGGAGUCGGCGUCGCGCACGUCGGAGUCGAUGAUAGCCGUCUCGACUCCAGAUUCAACGGAGGAGACAGGUACGGAGUCAGCGUCGGCGUCGCGCUCGUCGGAGUCGAUGAGCGGUGCCUCGACUUCUCCAGUUUCAACGGAGGAGUCAGAUACGGCGUCGGCGUCUUCAACGGAGAAGUCAGAUACGGAGUCGGCGUCGGCGUCGUGUGCGUUGUAGUCGAUGACAGGUGCCUCGACUUCUCCAGUAACGGAGGAGUCAGAUACGGAGUCGGCGUCGGCGUCUUCAACGGAGAAGUCAGAUACGGAGUCGGCGUCGGCGUCGACUUCUCCAGCUUCAACGGAGGAGUCAGAUACGGAGUCGGCGUCGGCGUCGCGCACGGCGGAAUCGGUGACAGGUGUCUCGACAUCUUCAGUUUCAACCGAGGCGUCAGGUAGGUGCUCGGAGACGGCGUCGCACACGGCGGAGUCGAUAACAGGAGUCUCGGCUUCUUUAGUUUCAACCGAGGCGUCAGGUAGGUGCUCGGAGACGGCGUCGCACACGGCGGAGUCGAUAACAGGAGUCUCGGCUUCUUUAGUUUCAACCGAGGCGUCAGGUAGGUGCUCGGAGACGGCGUCGCACACGGCGGAGUCGAUAACAGGAGUCUCGGCUUCUUUAGUUUCAACCGAGGCGUCAGGUAGGUGCUCGGAGACGGCGUCGCACACGGCGGAGUCGAUAACAGGAGUCUCGGCUUCUUUAGUUUCAACCGAGGCGUCAGGUAGGUGCUCGGAGACGGCGUCGCACACGGCGGAGUCGAUAACAGGAGUCUCGGCUUCUUUAGUUUCAACCGAGGCGUCAGGUAGGUGCUCGGAGACGGCGUCGCGCACGGCGGAGUCGAUAACAGGUGUCUUGGCUUCUCCACUUUCAACGGAGGCGUCAGCUAGGUGCUCGGAGUCGGCGGAGUCGAUGACGGGUGCGGAGUCGGCGUCGGAGCCGACGAGAGACGGUGGAGCUGAUCGGAGAUUCCCCAUGACUACCCUGGCAAGCAUAGAGAAUAUGACGACAGCUGCUAUCCCACAAACAAUACCUCCU